rnacentral:rRNA from 1 species
GACGAACGCUGGCGGCGUGCUUAACACAUGCAAGUCGAGCGGUAAGGCCCUUUCGGGGGUACACGAGCGGCGAACGGGUGAGUAACACGUGGGUGACCUGCCCUUAGCUCUGGGAUAAGCCUGGGAAACUGGGUCUAAUACCGGAUAUGACUCCAUGACGCAUGUUGUGGGGUGGAAAGCCUUGUGCGGCUAGGGAUGGGCCCGCGGCCUAUCAGCUUGUUGGUGGGGUGAUGGCCUACCAAGGCGACGACGGGUAGCCGGCCUGAGAGGGCGACCGGCCACACUGGGACUGAGACACGGCCCAGACUCCUACGGGAGGCAGCAGUGGGGAAC